UCUUCAGUGUUGAAAUCCUGGUGUUAAAGUCUCUUAGAGUAAAGUGUUAAUUUUCUGGUGUUGAAUCUCAAGGGAUUAACACUAGCUAGUGUAAACCACACUCUGGCUGGUGAAAAUAUGUGGAGUUAAAUCUAAGUAGCACCUGAGAAUGCUUUGACAACACCAAUAAUAGUGUUACUAGUCACAUCCGGGACAUUUACGUGCUGGGCGGAACGAAACGAGCUGAAACUUUACUCACAGACGCCAUUUUCUUUGACUCGAGUCGCAAGGCAUACGAGGAGGAAACACGCAUUUAUUACGUGUUUUAUCGCAUUUAUAGAUUCAUUUUAUAACAUCAUAUUGUUUUAUAACAAUAUGUAUGUUCUGUGGACGAGCAAACCGCUCUCAGAGGGACAUUUUCUAUGACGCGCGAUUCGGGGCAGACCAGGAUGGGUUUGCUUUUUAACCGGGAAACAACGAAAGCGACAUCAUCUUUGACUAGCCUAUAUACGGAGCUGACGAGGAGGAGGCUUAACGUUAACAGGGAAAACACCUACAGUCCUGCAUCUUUGACUCGUGACGCAUUUCAAAAAGCAGUGCAGAAUGCAGACACGGAGUUUGCUUUUAACAGUGAAAACACCGAGUAGCUAGACCAACUCCACAAACUGCGGACCAACAAUGCACGUGAAAUUUUCACUUUAUUUCCUUAUUUGGAGGACCAAUCUUCUUAGAAUGGGAGCAAUUCUAUGAUGCACCAAGUGGCUAAGGGUACCAGGCUUGGUGUUUAAAGACUGUACAGACUAGAACCUGGUGAUGGAAAGAUAACAGAUAAGUUAACAUAUGAGAGAAUCAUGGGCACAAACAAAAAUAAUCAUGGCUUGGUAUUACUAGAUUUUUUGAUUAUAUAGAGUUUGAUUAUAUAACUAGAUUAAUAUAGACACAUAUUUUGAAUUUGUCUAGUCAAAUUACUUAACAAAAGUGUGUGUGUGUAUAUAUAUAUAUAAACUUAAAAUUAGAUUUCUAAUCAAUGGUUUUCUUGAUUUGACAAGUAGAAAUCUCUGCCCAUCACCUGCCCCCAACAUUACAAAGCCACAAGAAGAGAACACCGAUCCUUCCAGAAUCCGGCGGCUGACUAUUUAGUGAGAUUUCUUAAGGUACCCAGUACUACACGAUUUUUCACUAAAGUUGGAUCUGCACAGCCUUUUCUGCUCUGUGAAACAACUGCACUGAACUUUACUGUUAGCGACUGGAUACAGCUGAUCCACUCAUAUCCUGCUACUGUUUUUCAUCUGCUGAAUGUUUUUGACUCAAGCACUGCUGUACUGUUGCAAAGUCAAAGGUACUGAAUUAACUUCACUGACACAGGACUCACAUUCACUGAUAUGUUCAGGACUUAAGUAUUAAACACCAUUUGAUCACAUCAUAUAAUUCUGAUGACAGAAAUCCAUAUAUUGUGCAUUCAUCGUUUAUUUAAAAAAUUAACCUAUAAUGUAAACGUGCUUGUUCGUUAAUAAAAAAAAUAGUUUGUUUGAAACAACUGUU